CACGCAGGCGGUCUGUUAAGUCAGAUGUGAAAUCCCCGGGCUUAACCUGGGAACUGCAUUUGAAACUGGCAGGCUUGAGUCUUGUAGAGGGGGGUAGAAUUCCAGGUGUAGCGGUGAAAUGCGUAGAGAUCUGGAGGAAUACCGGUGGCGAAGGCGGCCCCCUGGACAAAGACUGACGCUCAGGUGCGAAAGCGUGGGGAGCAAACA
rnacentral:rRNA from 1 species